GGCCGGCCCAACCCUGCAGUCGAGCGAUGAAGCUUCCUUCGGGAAGUGGAUUAGCGGCGGACGGGUGAGUAACACGUGGGUAACCUGCCUCAAAGUGGGGAAUAGCCUUCCGAAAGGAAGAUUAAUACCGCAUAAUGUAAGAGAAUCGCAUGAUUUUCUUACCAAAGAUUUAUCGCUUUGAGAUGGACCCGCGGCGCAUUAGCUAGUUGGUGAGGUAAAUGCUCACCAAGGCAACGAUGCGUAGCCGACCUGAGAGGGUGAUCGGCCACAUUGGAACUGAGACACGGUCCAGACUCCUACGGGAGGCAGCAGUGGGGAAUAUUGCGCAAUGGGGGAAACCCUGACGCAGCAACGCCGCGUGAGUGAUGAAGGUCUUCGGAUUGUAAAGCUCUGUUUUCUAGGACGAUAACGACGGUACUAGAAGAGGAAGCCACGGCUAACUACGUGCCAGCAGCCGCGGUAAUACGUAGGUGGCGAGCGUUGUCCGGAUUUACUGGGCGUAAAGGGUGCGUAGGCG
rnacentral:rRNA from 1 species